rnacentral:misc_RNA from 1 species
GUUAUGUGUUUAGGCGGCACAAGGUCCGCAAUACAUUCUUUGCGACUGGAGUUUGGUAUGCGGCAUCGAGGACGCGGCGCGAGCCGGGUCCCCUCCGCCGUGAAGGUUCACAGUGGGUUUGUGAGGUUUGAGCAGGGACGGCCACCCGCUGCACGACCCGUUUGGGCCGGAGCAGGGCGAGCCGCACCCCGUCAGAGAUACGUUAAUGAUCCUUCCGCAGGUUCACCUACGGAAA